UUCUCUCCGCCGACCUCCGUAAGCAUCCACGGGAACAAUGCAUUUAACACAAGAAUGUGCUCAGUCAUUCCAUCAUUUUUUGUGAGUCAAAUCUUUUUCAUUGACCAUAGAUUUGAGCUUUUCAACAUAGUAUCCUACCUUCUUUCAUCUUCAAAAAGGUUACAUUUUUAGUGAUCUUUUUACUCUCUCAAUCUUGGGUUCUCCUUUUUUCUUCUUUAAUCUCGUACCCAUCUAAUGAUUAUACUAAAAAAAUUUCUCCAAGUGGCUUUUUAUUAUAUAUCUGUACGCAAUAUGCAUGUAUUUGUUUAUUUUUUUUCGAUAUCUUUGUAUAUAUGUAAUUAUUUUUGAACCAUGAAACUAUUGCUGCCUGUUAAUCCAUCGCCUAACAGGCUAACACAAUCACUUUUCAAGGUCUGAAAGUGAUGGUAUAUACUCGAGUGCUCAUCUUUUGUGCCUAAAUUGGGGCCCAUUUGUGCCAAAGUCUUUAUUUAUGACUCAAUCUAUAUGUAUAUAUUAUCUCUGAACAGUUAAUUUUGUUGUGGUCCAGCACAGAAGUGUUUAAGUCGUAUGCCGUUUAAUUCUAUCGUCAUUUCUUUAAUUGCUCACAUGGCAAUUUUAUUAUAGGCCUAAAUGUGAAGCAGAGCUAUUUUCCGGCACUGCCCGUGUAGCGGAAUUCAACUCCGGCGUCUUGAAUUUGUAGGCAGCUGUUUUUAACGUCAUUUCAGGUACCAAAAUCGGAAAGUUACUUUCUGACAUUGAAUUAACAAACAUUUGAUAUAUACAUUAUGCUCUUUUUGAAUUUUCUUUGCUUUUGAGGUUGGCUCAAAGAACUUUAGCUUGAUUUUUUUAAACUAUUUAUACCUAUUCUUUUGAUAAUGUGGUUCAGUUGCUUUAAUUUGGCUACUAAUUUAUAAAUAUUAGAAGUUGUCACCGUCUUGUAUUUAUAUUGUAAUUUGUAAGCCUCUAUUGAUUUGAUUCCUUUGUAAAAUCUUGACAGUGCCGGCCUGAUUACACCUACUUAUUAUGGAAAUGGGAUUUGAAUAAUGCAAAGGCCAGAAGUAACCACUAUUAUUUGUGAUCU
rnacentral:lncRNA from 1 species